rnacentral:rRNA from 1 species
GACGAACGCUGGCGGCGUGCUUAACACAUGCAAGUCGAACGGAAAGGCCCUGCUUUUGUGGGGUGCGCGAGUGGCGAACGGGGGAGUAACACGUGAGUAACCUGCCCUUGACUUUGGGAUAACUUCAGGAAACUGGGGCUAAUACCGGAUAGGAGCUCCUGCUGCAUGGUGGGGGUUGGAAAGUUUCGGCGGUUGGGGAUGGACUCGCGGCUUAUCAGCUUGUUGGUUGGGUAGUGGCUUACCAAGGCUUUGACGGGUAGCCGGCCUGAGAGGGUGACCGGCCACAUUGGGACUGGGAUGCGGCCCAGCCUACUACGGGACGCAGCGGUGGGGAAUAUUGCACUGUGGGCGGGAGCCUGGUGCAGCAACGCCGCGUGCGGGAUGACGGCCUUCGGGUUGUAAACCGCUUUCGCCUGUGACGAAGCGUGAAUGACGGUAAUGGGUAAAGAAGCACCGGCUAACUACGUG